rnacentral:tRNA from 2 species
GGGCUGUUAGCUCAGUUGGCAGAGCAGCUGACUCUUAAUCAGCGGGUCGCCGGUUCGAGCCCGGCACAGCCCA